rnacentral:rRNA from 1 species
CCUACGGGCGGCAGCAGUGAGGAAUAUUGGUCAAUGGGCGAGAGUCUGAACCAGCCAAGUCGCGUGAAGGAUGAAUGCUCUAUGGGUUGUAAACUUCUUUUAUAUGGGAAUAAACUGUUGAACGUGUGCCUUUUUGUAUGUACCAUAUGAAUAAGCAUCGGCUAACUCCGUGCCAGCAGCCGCGGUAAUACGGAGGAUCCGAGCGUUAUCCGGAUUUAUUGGGUUUAAAGGGUGCGUAGGUGGUUUGUUAAGUCAGUGGUGAAAGUUUGCGGCUCAACCAUAAAAUUGCAGUUGAAACUGGCUGACUUGAGUACAUUAGAGGUAGGCGGAAUGCGUGGUGUAGCGGUGAAAUGCUUAGAUAUCACGCAGAACUCCGAUUGCGAAGGCAGCUCACUAGACUACAACUGACACUGAGGCACGAAAGUGUGGGUAUCAAACAGGAUUAGAUACCCCAGUAGUC